UUUGGAGACCCCCUCUUCUUUGUGGCAGUGCCUUAGAUAUUCAGACUAUUCCAAAUCAACUUUUAGGUUUGAGCUUUGUGUCUUGAAUGUUGAAGUUUUGCCCAGAUCCUAGAAUGAAGGAACUUCAUUGAAUGCCAUUACAUUGAUCAGAGUAGGUGCAUUUUCAGAUUUAAUGAAGACCUUUUAACAGAAGAAAAUGUGAUGACCAGAUGGGAUCCUCAAGCUUUCUAUAUACAAGGUGUGAAGAAUUCCAAGACUUUUAUGGAAAUCAUAAUGGAUGACUCUUCAAGCUGUCAUCUUCCAUGCACUCAGUCUUUCCAGAAGAUUAAGAGCAUCAGGAACAUUAAUACUGCAAGCCAAGUUUUAAGCAUGUCUGUUUCAUAAGUUUCCCAAGAGAAUGUAUCUGUCUACAUUUCAAAUGAGUUUUCAAUCUGGAGAGCCCACGGACAACCGUAAUUCUUAUAUUAGCUGUCAAUAAGCUAUCUGUGCAUAUUUGACCUUAUGCAUCGCUAUACAGAAAAUCUAUAAAUCUGUGCAAUUGUUAUUACAUAAAUCUUGAUUGAAC